UUCACCCUCCCUCCCUCUCUCAUCCUCAUUUCCCACCAUAAAUUCUCUCCUCCCUUUUUCCUCACUCUCAACACACCCCACCCUUCUCUUUCUCUUGUCUCGUUCUAUUUCAUUCGGUUGCUUUUUGCUCCAUUCUCAUUCCUUCUCUCUGAUUCCUUUGCUCUCCUGCUGUCUCAUUAGAAAGAGCUUCCUUUUGGUGCAGCUUCUUGAAGCUCAGAAGGUUGGGUCUUUAUUUCACUUCUGACAUUUUUUGUUGCCAUUGAUUGGAUAUUAUUUGGAUGGUACCAGCCUUGUAUGCAUGUUGUAUGCCAGCUGUGUUUCUCCUUUAAGCAAAAUGACUUUGAUACACUUCAGCCCAGUGACUGAGUCUGUUCCAGUUUUCAGUAAGCUGAUCCUGCUGGCAGAGGCUACCAGAGAGACUUCCUUUUCUGGAAGGACCUGAUGCAUGGUGUCAGUGAUCCUCUGCCUCUUAACCCUGCUCCCCUUUUACACCCCUCUCUCUUUCCCUUUCUAUCUAUCUCUCUGCCAGGCUGUCUGUGGAGAGACUAAUUUCAUUUCACGUCUGUGGAGAGAGUGCCAGUAGAGCUCAGUCAGUCGGCGGAGUCAGGAGACUUGCGUGGAUGACGCUGCCUUCUUCUCUCUUUUAGUCUUUCUUUUUGUCACUAACACCAGUAGCUCAGCUCACUCUUUUCAUCCACCAUCUCCGUCAAUCUAAUCUCAAUCUCAGUUAUUUUUCUUUUUUGGAGAGUGUCUCCAGUUUCCAUCCACAGGUAGGCAGCACCACAUUCAGGCAACAAUACAGCCCUUUAUCCUACUUUCUUCUAUUUUCUGGUACUUUCUUUAUAAUAUACCCACAUCUUCCUCCACCUUCUCAUUCUCCAUCUCUAUCUUUCUUCUCUCCUCUGCCUCCACACCCUGCCUGUGGGGGUGCUGGUGAGAUUUCGCCAAUUGUGCACACCGAAGGCAGCAAGUGGGAGUGGACCUCAAGCAAGUGUGCUCACAAAGUGUGUGCAUGUGUGUGUUUUUGCAAAUGUGGAGAGGAAGAAGAGAGGAGGAGGAGGAGAAAGAGGAGUAGGUGGAGGAGGGAGUGAGAGAGAGAAAGCAUCAACACAGUCUUCCCAGUGUCUCCUCUCUUCUCACACUCUCCCAGUCUGCAUGGAGCAAAUCCUUCUUCUUUGCUCCUAAAUGGACAUUUCUCUGGCAACCUAAAGUCGCUGAAGGCAGCUCCACUCCACAAUCUCCUACAUGCUGGAUUUUAAUACAAGUAAGGAGCAGAGAGGAACUGGGGGAGAUCUCUGAAUAUGAGUGAGGAGGCUAAGGAGAAAGCAGGAGGCGGGAAAGGAGCACAUCGCAAGAAGAAAGGCAAAAAGGUUUUUCAAGCAGACUUCCAAACCUCCUCCUAAGUUUACAUUCAAGACAAGUGCAGCCACAUGCUGAAUUAGAGAGAGGUCAAAAAGGUCACCGAGGCUGAUGCUGCUGUUUGGUCCUGUUGCACCCAUG